CCGGUUGAUCCCGCCGGACCUGACUGCUAUCGGAUUGGUACUAAGCCAUGUGAGUCGUUGUAGUAAUACAAGGCAUACGGCUCAGUAACACGUAGUCAAUCUAACCUAUGGACGGGGAUAACCUCGGGAAACUGAGGAUAAAACCCGAUAGAUCAUAAUGCCUGGAACGGUUUAUGGUCCAAAUGAUUCGUCGCCGUAGGGUGGGACUGCGGCCUAUCAGCUUGUUGGUGAGGUAAUGGCCCACCAAGGCUAUUACAGGUACGGGCUCUGAGAGGAGAAGCCCGGAGAUGGGUACUGAGACACGGACCCAGGCCCUAUGGGGCGCAGCAGGCGAGAAACCUUUGCAAUGUGCGCAAGCACGACAAGGUUAAUCCGAGUGUUUCCUGCUAAAGGAAUCUUUUGUUAGUUGUAAAACCACUGAUGAAUAAGGGGUGGGCAAGUUCUGGUGUCAGCCGCCGCGGUAAAACCAGCACCUCAAGUGGUCAGGAUGAUUAUUGGGCCUAAAGCAUCCGUAGCCUGUUCUGUAAGUUUCCGGUUAAAUCCAUUAGCUCAACUAAUGGGCUGCCGAAAAUACUGCAGAACUAGGGAGUGGGAGAGGUAGACGGUACUCGGUAGGAAGGGGUAAAAUCCUUUGAUCUAUUGAUGACCACCUGUGGCGAAGGCGGUCUACCAGAACACGUUCGACGGUGAGGGAUGAAAGCUGGGGGAGCAAACCGGAUUAGAUACCCGGGUAGUCCCAGCUGUAAACGAUGCAGACUCGGUGAUGCCCUGGCUUGUGGCCAGUGCAGUGCCGCAGGGAAGCCGUUAAGUUUGCCGCCUGGGAAGUACGUACGCAAGUAUGAAACUUAAAGGAAUUGGCGGGGGAGCACCACAAGGGGUGAAGCCUGCGGUUCAAUUGGAGUCAACGCCGGGAAU
rnacentral:rRNA from 1 species